CCUACGGGAGGCAGCAGUGAGGAAUAUUGGUCAAUGGGCGCAAGCCUGACCCAGCAACGCCGCGUGAAGGAAGACGGCUUUCGGGUUGUAAACUUCUUUUCUCCGGGACGCAGAAAGUGACGGUACCUGAGGACUAAGCCUCGUCUAACUACGUGCCUGCAGCAGCGGUAAUACGUAGGUGGCAAGCGUUCUCCGGAUUUAUUGGUUUUAAGGGGUGCGUAGGCGGAAUGCCAAGUCAGCGGUAAAAUCGCGGGGCGCAACCUCGCGCCGCCGUUGAAACGGGCGUUCUUGAGUGGGCGAGAAGGAUGCGGAAUGCGUGGUGGAGCGGGGAAAUGCAGAGAUAUCACGCAGAACUCCGAUUGCGAAGGCAGCAUACCGGCGCCCAACUGACGCUGAAGCACGAAAGCGUGGGUAUCGAACAGGAUUAGAUACCCCAGUAGUC
rnacentral:rRNA from 1 species